UGUUAAAAAUUUCAUUCAUUUUUACUGUUAAGAACUAAUAUGAUUAACGGAACAACCAAAUGUGUGAUUCAUGGUUAAUAGUAGAAAUUGAUGAAAGUUUUAACA
rfam:Gossypium hirsutum cultivar TM-1 chromosome 4, whole genome shotgun sequence